rnacentral:antisense_RNA from 1 species
CUUGACCGAGCCGAGCAGCACCGGCUGGUCCGCCGAGCGAUCCUGACCGUAGGUGGCAAGCAGUGCUUGUGCCUC